GCGGAGGCUUCGGUACCGGCGGCGGAGGCUUCGGUGGCGGCAAAUCCGGCGUCAAGGGCGACAACUAAGGCUGAAACGACACACUCGACACCCCCGAGGACCUGCACUGCCCUACUAGUGACGAUGGCGGCGGCGGCGGCAAAGCAAAUGUAUAUGGAAAUAAAUUGAACGAGGAAUAAAACAACUUAAAUUUG